rnacentral:lncRNA from 1 species
CUCGAUGGGCGUUUACGAAGCACUAGGUGUCAAAGAAAAACCAAGCAUUUAUGCUAAAAUGGAAAACCAGAAAGGUAGCGAUAAUAGAAAUUUAAAAGAAAAAUUAACUGAUAAGAUAAGAUACCUUUGAUGAUGAGUCUUUUGUAGACGAAACGCGCGUCUGGCUUAUAUACUAAAUUUAGUCUGGUAUCUAUGAUAAGUUUAUUUGACCAUCAUUUUAUGAUCGUUUCGCCAUAUAGGUUUUUCUAUCCUUGGCCAAGAACGUUCCAUAUGAAUAUGAUUUCAGAAAUACGUUCCAAGUGCAUAUACACUGCCAAUUUGUUAUUUUCAUUACUUAUUCUAUAGUUUAUAAGAUGUUUCUAUUUAAAACGAUUAUUUUUCUUUCGACUAUUGCAAUUAACAGAAUAUCAUUUUGUUUUUUAUCGAUUAUGACGUAAUCAAAUUCAAUCCAAUCGACAUGGAAAUACAUUGUUGGAUUAUAAUCAAAUGUACUUGUCGUUGUUUUAGGUUUGAAUUCGGUAAAAGUUAUUUCCAAGUGUUCAAAAUGUGUACCUUUCAGUUUAAAAUUUAGAUAUCAUUAUUACAAAACAAAACAAAAUAUGGUUGGUAUCUACAGUUAAAAGUAAUGCAUCAGUGUUAUUUUCAUUUUAGAACAGAAGCAACUUAAUACGUGAGUACUACUUAAAACCGAUAAAUAUAACUUUGAAACGGCAACAAUACAAACGCUCCAAAUUGUAUGUUUUUUUAAUUUUCCGUCGUGGAAUCCGUUUGUGAUGUUUUUAUCGAGUCCACUCCAAAAUAUGUUAGGAUAGCUCCGUUUUGGGGACGUUCACAAAUAUAUAUUUCAGGCAGAAUUUUUGUUCCCGAUAUGAUUUAUAGACGGAUUUGUAUGUCUUGUUGGGUGCUUAUUUUCAAAUAUAUGUUAAUUUUCCAGAAGUUAAUCAAUAUUAUAGAUAUUCAAAUUUAUUCUAUUUACUCGGGUUAUUGUUUCAGAAAUAACUUGAGCGUCGACGAGAUUUGUGUUAACUCAAGGUAAAGAAAGCGAUUAAGAACAUUGCAGUAUCUAAUAAUUAUUUCAAAAUAUAUACGCAAGUGAUUUGUGUAAGGGUUCAAUAGAUAUAUUCGUACCGUGAUAAAUUAACGGAUACGCAAGUCCCAAUUAGUAUGUUAAAUCAAUUUUUCCUCGCCUUUUACCUUUAUUGGGCCUUGAACCUGGAAGUAGUUUUUCAAUCAUUACUCUUACUUAUCGGACCACAGAUAAAUUGUCACGUUGUGAUUAGUUAAACGCCGUCACGUGGUGACCCCCUAUGAGACCGUAGGGGGUUAGUAAGUUUCAUAGGGGUUCAUGACGCGUUAAUGGUGACGUCAUCUAUUAAUGUUGUGUGUUUCAUUGUUUAUUUUUCAAAACGCAGCAGAAAAAGUCCAACGUCUGAUAAAUUCGUUAUACGGUUAACUACUGACCCCUACGGAUCCAUAGCGGGUGAAUAAAAUUCAUAGGGGAUUCGACAUCCGGCCUCACCCCCUAUGGAUUUUAUUAACCCUCUAUGGAUCUGUAGGGGUCAGUAGCUAACCAUAUAACUUAUAAUGUAGAGUUAUUUCUGCGAGGUCAUGAUGCGUUUUGAAUGCGGUUUUUCCUAAAGUUCCUAACUUGUGUACUGUUCAGACCAGCCAUAGAUAACUAUGACAUAUGUAUAUAGAAUCGUACAUUUAGAAAACAUAACAAUCGUAAGUAUUCUUCUAACGGAAUAUGGAUGAAUCGUUAAAUCAAUAGUAGACAGCAAGCCUUGAUUCGUAUAUAAAAUGUGUAUUAAAGGCGGAAUCACACGCCUUCCUUAGCACAAGUUUUAACAGGACGAUUAAGAGAUGUAGAGUAGAUUUCUUUAAAUAACUAAAUGUUCAUGAAAUAUAAGGUAAAUUUAAUGAGCCAGCAAACCAGGAAUCGACAUAUAAACAUCCAUAUACUAAUUAAUGGCUGUUUAUUAUGUAAUAUUCUGCAAUUCCAAUUUUUUUGAUAUCAAUCUGAGUUUAUUCGUUAAUUUAAAAAAGUGAUUACUCCGACAUUCCUAUCUGUAAUGUUUCUUUAAAAUAUAAUUCAUAAUUGAGAAGUACUUUAUAUUUGUAGACAGCACGAGGGUAAACACCAAUUUAAGAAACCGAAUGAUCACAACGACAGCAUAGAACUAAAUACAACACAAGGUUAGUGUUUCCUAAUAUUACAGUGAAAAUUUGAACUCAUUAGAUCAGUACCUGAAAUAUGAAUUGUCCCUCAGUCAUGGAUCAUUUACAAGUUAUGACAUAUGACUUUCAUACGAAAAAAACAAAUGUAGAAUUUACUUUCUUGUUCUUGUUUACAUAACACAAUGAAAAGUUUCUGCAAAAUGUGUGUUAAAGUGAUAUGAUUGGUGUAGGUCUAAGACUCCGAAAACUCUCAAUAACUUUUUCUUUCUUGCUGUCAUUUAAGCUUUUUAAUAUGUUACUGUUUAUUUAUAAUGAAACAUGUGGUAAAAUCACUCUGUUUAAUGCUGGUUACAAAUAUUUAACAACAUCCAAUCACUUAUCAUUUUAGAACGUUAAUGGAUAAAGACGCUAUGCAUAUACAAAACUCUUAGUGCGCAUUUGAUGCUAAUUCCCGUGUUUUUUUGUAAUUUCAAAGAAUAUAAUUUGUAUUGUGUUAUAUUUUUAAUCAGUUUUUGAAUUUCAAGUAUAUCAAAUCGUCCUGGCUUUUUUGUAUCACGUAUACAUAUACGAUAACACACACUUGUUAAAUAUUGAAGACCGAACUGUCUAUUUAUAUAUUAAUUUUAAAUGAUAAUCUAUACUUGUUUUGGAAAUUUCUUCAUCUUUUUUAACUCCCUGGCUAUUUCCUUUAAUUUCAGAACGAACAGAGAAAGUUUAUGAAAAUGAAGUAUUCUGAUGCAGAUAUAUCCACAGCUUGUUUACUAAAAAGAUAGAACACCAAGAGAUACACACGAAUCUUCUGACACCACAUAAAUUACGUGUUUAGAAAAUUGUUUUAUGUAUAUAGUUAUAUUUGUAAAUAUCAUUCAAUAUUGUUAUGCAAAUAUUUGUGCAAAAACGG